rnacentral:rRNA from 1 species
GACGAACGCUGGCGGCGUGCUUAACACAUGCAAGUCGAACGGAAAGGCCCCUUUGGGGGUCCUCGAGUGGCGAAAGGGUGAGUAACACGUGAGUAAGCUGCCCUUAACUUCGGGAUAACUUCAGGAAAAUGGGGCAAAUACUGGAUAGGAAUCCUUGAUGCAUGGUGGGGGGGGGAAAGCUUGGGCGGUUUGGGAUGUACGCGCGGCUUAUCAGCUUGUUGGUGUGGUAGGGGGUUACAAAGGAUGUGACGGGUAGCCGGACUGGGAGUGCGACCGGCCACAUUGGGACUGAGAUUCGGCCCAGACUCCUACGGGAGGCAGCAGUGGGGAAUAUUGCACUAUGGGCGGAAGCCUGAUGCUGCAACGCCGCGUGCGGGAUGACGGCCUUCGGGUUGUGGUCCUCUUUCAGCAGGGGCGAAGCUUGUGGUGACGGUACCUGCAGAAGAAGCACCGGCUAACUACGUG